UACGGAGGGGGCUAGCGUUGCUCGGAAUCACUGGGCGUAAAGCGCACGUAGGCGGAUUGUUAAGUCAGGGGUGAAAUCCUGGAGCUCAACUCCAGAACUGCCUUUGAUACUGGCGAUCUUGAGUCCGGGAGAGGUGAGUGGAACUGCGAGUGUAGAGGUGAAAUUCGUAGAUAUUCGCAAGAACACCAGUGGCGAAGGCGGCUCACUGGCCCGGUACUGACGCUGAGGUGCGAAAGCGUGGGGAGCAAACAGG
rnacentral:rRNA from 1 species